CGGCCGCACUAGUGAUUAGAGUUUGAUCCUGGCUCAGGAUGAACGCUGGCGGCGUGCCUAAUACAUGCAAGUCGAGCGAACAGAUAAGGAGCUUGCUCCUUUGACGUUAGCGGCGGACGGGUGAGUAACACGUGGGUAACCUACCUAUAAGACUGGAAUAACUCCGGGAAACCGGGGCUAAUGCCGGAUAACAUUUAGAACCGCAUGGUUCUAAAGUGAAAGAUGGUUUUGCUAUCACUUAUAGAUGGACCCGCGCCGUAUUAGCUAGUUGGUAAGGUAACGGCUUACCAAGGCAACGAUACGUAGCCGACCUGAGAGGGUGAUCGGCCACACUGGAACUGAGACACGGUCCAGACUCCUACGGGAGGCAGCAGUAGGGAAUCUUCCGCAAUGGGCGAAAGCCUGACGGAGCAACGCCGCGUGAGUGAUGAAGGUCUUCGGAUCGUAAAACUCUGUUAUUAGGGAAGAACAAAUGUGUAAGUAACUGUGCACGUCUUGAC
rnacentral:rRNA from 1 species